rnacentral:rRNA from 1 species
UACGUAGGGGGCAAGCGUUGUUCGGAAUUACUGGGCGUAAAGGGCUCGUAGGCGGCCAACUAAGUCGGAUGUGAAAUCCCCAGGCUUAACCUGGGAACCGCAUCCGAUACUGGAUGGCUUGAAUUCGGGAGAGGGAUGCAGAAUUCCAGGUGUAGCGGUGAAAUGCGUAGAUAUCUGGAGGAAUACCGGUGGCGAAGGCGGCAUCCUGGACCGAGAUUGACGCUGAUGAGCGAAAGCUAGGGGAGCAAACGGG